rnacentral:rRNA from 1 species
GACGAACGCUGGCGGCGUGCUUAACACAUGCAAGUCGAGCGAGAGAAAUUCCUUCGGGAAGGACUCUAGCGGCGGACGGGUGAGUAACACGUGGGUAACCUGCCUCAUAGAGGGGAAUAGCCUUCCGAAAGGAAGAUUAAUACCGCAUAAGAUUGUAAUACCGCAUGGUAUAGCAAUUAAAGGAGUAAUCCGCUAUGAGAUGGACCCGCGUCGCAUUAGGUAGUUGGUGAGGUAACGGCUCACCAAGGCAACGAUGCGUAGCCGACCUGAGAGGGUGAUCGGCCACAGUGGGACUGAGACACGGACCAGACUCCUACGGGAGGCAGCAGUGGGGAAUAUUGCACAAUGGGGGAAACCCUGAUGCAGCAACGCCGCGUGAGUGAUGACGGUCUUCGGAUUGUAAAGCUCUGUCUUCAGGGACGAUAAUGACGGUACCUGAGGAGGAAGCCACGGCUAACUACGUGCCAGCCGCCGCGGUAAGAC